GACGAACGCUGGUGGCGUGCCUAAUACAUGCAAGUCGAGCGGACCAAUAGAAGCUUGCUUCUGUUGGUUAGCGGCAGACGGGUGAGUAACACGUGGGCAACCUGCCUGUAAGACUGGGAUAACUUCGGGAAACCGGAGCUAAUACCGGAUAAUUCAUCCCCUCGCAUGAGGGGAUGCUGAAAGUCGGUUUACGCUGACACUUACAGAUGGGCCCGCGGCGCAUUAGCUAGUUGGUGAGGUAAUGGCUCACCAAGGCGACGAUGCGUAGCCGACCUGAGAGGGUGAUCGGCCACACUGGGACUGAGACACGGCCCAGACUCCUACGGGAGGCAGCAGUAGGGAAUCUUCCACAAUGGACGAAAGUCUGAUGGAGCAACGCCGCGUGAGCGAUGAGGGCCUUCGGGUCGUAAAGCUCUGUUGUUAGGCAAGAACAAGUAUCGGAGUAACUGCCGGUACCUUGACGGUACCUAACCAGAAAGCCACGGCUAACUACGUGCCAGCAGCCGCAGUAACAC
rnacentral:rRNA from 1 species